rnacentral:rRNA from 1 species
AUUGAACGCUGGCGGCAGGCCUAACACAUGCAAGUCGAACGGUAACAGGAAACAGCUUGCUGUUUCGCUGACGAGGCGGACGGGUGAGUAAUGUCUGGGAAACUGCCUGAUGGAGGGGGAAAACUACUGGAAACGGUAGCUAAUACCGCAUAACGUCGCAAGACCAAAGAGGGGGACCUUCGGGCCUCUUGCCAUCGGAUGUGCCCAGAUGGGAUUAGCUUGUUGGUGGGGUAACGGCUCACCAAGGCGACGAUCCCUAGCUGGUCUGAGAGGAUGACCAGCCACACUGGAACUGAGACACGGUCCAGACUCCUACGGGAGGCUGCAGUCGAGGAUCAUUCGCAAUGGGCGCAAGCCUGACGAUGCGACGCUGCGUGGAGGACGAAGGCCUUCGGGUUGUAAACUCCUGUCAUGGGGGAAAAAGGUCCCGCGGCCGAAUAGACCGCGGGCUCGAUGGUACCCCAAGAGGAAGCCACGGCUAACUCUGUGCCAGCAGCCGCGGUAA